rnacentral:rRNA from 1 species
AUUGAACGCUGGCGGCAGGCCUAAUACAUGCAAGUCGAACGAGUGGCGGACGGGUGAGUAAUGUCUGGGAACCUGCCUGACGGAGGGGGAUAACUACUGGAAACGGUAGCUAAUACCGCAUACCAUCAGAUGUGCCCAGAUGGGAUUAGCUUGUCGGUGGGGUAACGGCUCACCAAGGCGACGCUCCCUAGCUGGUCUGAGAGGAUGACCAGCCACACUGGAACUGAGACACGGUCCAGACUCCUACGGGAGGCAGCAGUGGGGAAUAUUGCACAAUGGGCGAAAGCCUGAUGCAGCCAUGCCGCGUGUAUGAAGAAGGCCUUCGGGUUGUAAAGUACUUUCAGCGGGGAGGCGUUACCCGCAGAGGAAGCACCGGCUAACUCCGUGCCAGCAGCCGCGGUAAUAC